rnacentral:rRNA from 1 species
UAAGGAAUAUUGGUCAAUGGGCGGAAGCCUGAACCAGCCAUGCCGCGUGCAGGAAGACGGCCCUACGGGUUGUAAACUGCUUUUACAGGGGAAUAAACCUCAUUACGUGUAAUGAGCUGAAUGUACUCUGAGAAUAAGGAUCGGCUAACUCCGUGCCAGCAGCCGCGGUAAUACGGAGGAUCCAAGCGUUAUCCGGAUUUAUUGGGUUUAAAGGGUGCGUAGGUGGCCUGUUAAGUCAGGGGUGAAAGACGGUAGCUCAACUAUCGCAGUGCCCUUGAUACUGAUGGGCUUGAAUGAACUAGAGGUAGGCGGAAUGUGACAAGUAGCGGUGAAAUGCAUAGAUAUGUCACAGAACACCAAUUGCGAAGGCAGCUUACUAUGGUUUUAUUGACACUGAGGCACGAAAGCGUGGGGAUCAAACA